UACGAGGGGGGCAAAUGUUGUUCGGAAUCACUGGGCGUAAAGGGAGCGUAGGCGGGCUUCUAAGUUAGGUGUUUAAUCCCGGGGCCCAACCCCGGUCGUGCACUUAAAACUGGAAGUCUUGAAUAGUGGAGAGGUCAGUGGAAUUGGGGAUGUAGCGGUGGAAUGCGUAGAGAUCCCCAAGAACACCAGUUGCGAAGGCGGCUGACUGGACACAUAUUGACGCUGAGGCUCGAAAGCAUGGGGAGCAAACAGG
rnacentral:rRNA from 1 species